rnacentral:ncRNA from 1 species
ACCCGAACUUGGGGGAUUUAUCAAUGACCAGGAGGAAGCUUGGGUGAAACUAAGUGGAGGUCCAAACCGACUGAUUUUGAAGAAUCAGUGGAUGAGUUGUGGUUAGGGGUGAAUGCCACUCAAACCGAGAGCUAGUCGG